rnacentral:lncRNA from 1 species
GGGGACCGAGGCUAUUUUGCUUAAAAAAGAAGAAAAUGUAUCUUUCUGCAACCCAAACCACUGCUUGUAUAUUUUUUGAAGCCUCAUAGUCAAUGUGGGAAGGUACAUUUCCUCAUGUAGGGUAUCAAGAGAGCUAUCAGUUAACACAGAAUUAAGCUUAUUAGAAACUACUUUUCCUCACCCUUCUCUUCCCACUUCUUAUCUUCCCUCCCCUGUGGUACUUUAGUGCCCUGAAGACCAACUGAACUGCAGUGCUGUAGCUGUUUGUACACACUGCAAAUGACCUGGCUUUUUAUCCAGCUGCCAGGAGAAUUUGUACUGACUGCAGGAGGACUGGGGCACGCAGCGUACUUCAUCGUCAAUGGGAAUUCAUGCCUUUCAUAACUCAGCAACAACUAACAGAGCCAGUUAGCCCAAAAUAUUAUUUUCCUGAAACGUCUGCAAACAAAGGGAUGCAUUUUGCAGACAGAAGAAGCUUGUGUGAACUCAUGACUGAAAUGAAACUUGCCCAUUUUGAAUCAUGUUUUCAUGCCUGCAAGCAAGACUCAGAGAUGGAGGACAAGAAUUUUCUAAAAGCAUAUUCAAGAAAGGAUGAAGCCAAAAUACUUUUGCAUCUAAAAAUCAUCUACUACAGUGACAAGAACAAUUAUGGAAACAAUUAUCACGGGGAGGAACAGUGAUACUGAGGCCUAAGUUGCUCUGCAUGAGUCUAGUUUUACAGCGGUUAAGCUUCAAUAAAAUCAACCACAGUAACA